UACGAAGGGGGCUAGCGUUGCUCGGAAUCACUGGGCGUAAAGCGCACGUAGGCGGAUUGCUAAGUCAGGGGUGAAAUCCUGGAGCUCAACUCCAGAACUGCCUUUGAUACUGGCGACCUUGAGUCCGGGAGAGGUGAGUGGAACUGCGAGUGUAGAGGUGAAAUUCGUAGAUAUCAGGAAGAACACCCGUGGCGAAGGCGGCUCUCUGGGACGGUACUGACGCUGAGACGCGAAAGCGUGGGGAGCGAACAGG
rnacentral:rRNA from 1 species